GAUGAACGCUGGCGGCGUGCCUAAUACAUGCAAGUCGAGCGAACAGACGAGGAGCUUGCUCCUCUGACGUUAGCGGCGGACGGGUGAGUAACACGUGGAUAACCUACCUAUAAGACUGGGAUAACUUCGGGAAACCGGAGCUAAUACCGGAUAAUAUAUUGAACCACAUGGUUCAAUAGUGAAAGACGGUUUUGCUGUCACUUAUAGAUGGAUCCGCGCCGCAUUAGCUAGUUGGUAAGGUAACGGCUUACCAAGGCAACGAUGCGUAGCCGACCUGAGAGGGUGAUCGGCCACACUGGAACUGAGACACGGUCCAGACUCCUACGGGAGGCAGCAGUAGGGAAUCUUCCGCAAUGGGCGAAAGCCUGACGGAGCAACGCCGCGUGAGCGAUGAAGGUCUUCGGAUCGUAAAACUCUGUUAUUAGGGAAGAACAAAUGUGUAAGUAACUAUGCACGUCUUGACGGUACCUAAUCAGAAAGCCACGGCUAACUACGUG
rnacentral:rRNA from 1 species